rnacentral:lncRNA from 1 species
AAAAAGUAAUUAAAGCUACUGCAAUUUUAGGACUCUAAACUGGGUAAGUCAAUAAAAACACUGGGUAAUUUGAGCAUCCUUAUUUUACACAAAAAUAGUACGUUUAAACAUAGUCAAAACUAAAUGUUUCUAUGCAUUUUUUUCAAACACAAGCGCUACGAAUUUCUGGCUAACAUAUUUUGCUUUAUGAAAAAUUAAAUUUUAAUUUUUAUUAAAUUUUAGCACAGAAGUUUUUCGCCAUGGAUUUAUAAAGCGUGAUAAUAAUAAAAUAUUUUAAAAAAGAAAAAAUUAAAUAGCGUUUUCAUUAGAUGAUAGCCGCUAAUUAUACUAAUUUCUGUUAUCAUCACAGAAAUUCGUUUCAAAAAAGAAAAAGUAAUUUUAACUUCACUGCUUACAUCUUUUGCAAUGCAGUGUUUACAAAUAUAUCGAAUUUAUAUUUUCUCCGGUUUUAAACAACGCAAGCCAGAACAUUUUUGACCGAAUUUGAAUUCCUGACAGGCUUUUCGUCAAUGGAAACAUAAAUUUUUUUAAAUAACUGCAAUUUCAAGUAACUUGCGGAUGUUUGGGUGCGUAUGUAAAAAACUCUAACUACAGGGAAUAUAAAUCGCUUCAAAUACGCUUUCA